CGCCUGUUGGGCCAGCAGGGCACUCCGGCUGAAGAUAGACCGUUGCAUAUCUUCUGACGUCUGGCUUUCAGACUAGUUUGCACCGAGUGAAGUGAACUGAGAUAAAUGAGAAGUCUCAGCCUGACGAGCCUGACUUGAGUGCGCCCUUAACAGCUUGAAUCCAGUUCAGUGUCUGUCUGUCUCAUGGCUGCUGCUGCUGCUGCUGCUGCUACUACCGUAGGAGCUGAUGAUGCAGUUGAUGCUGAUGUCACCACCGCCUCUUAACAUGCCCGGAUGAACAGCGCCGCCAUUUCCCCUUCCCUCAGUCUGACUUGCGCACAGCUAAAGCUGGAACACUGCACCCACCCUCCUGUUUAUCCACACCGCUCCUCCUCCUCCCGUCUCUGACUCUUCAGUGACUGACGCACCGCUGUGUUCAUCCCAUCCAACACUGCUGAUGCUGAUGCUGA